CACAAUUGGAUUUUCGAUUUAAACUUAUUUUUUCAACAGGCCAGCAAUACCACAAUAGGAGCCACUAGAUAGCAGAAAGGUACUUUGCAACAACAUUUUGAGUUUCUCAGAGUUUUUUUUGGCACAAUUGAAUGCACCAUUAGUUCAACAAUGUGAAGGCACAAUGGAGCCCUGUCGGAGCCAGAGCCCACGUGCUUUACCUUCGUUUUGUGUUUACACAACUCACUCACGUGGAAGGCAAAAUGUUGUCACACCGGUGACUUCAGGGAAGCAGAAGGAUUUCUCUCUCCGUCAUCUCCAACUCCCUACAGUGGCCAUGGUGACUGGAAUAGUCAAGCUACAGGCUACCGAUAUAAAAAUGGCCAAAUGCUGCCCCUUUGAUGGUGAGGGACAUUCCUGGCAUCUCUCAGAUGUCUGUGCUGCUUUGCGGUAACCCAACUCCGGUUGAAAGCAUUUUCCUGGGAAAAAGAGGCGGCUCGCAAUCGACGGGGCACAGGGACACCUGCAGCUCUGGCGCAGCGGCGACUACAGAUCAGCCCUGGACGUGACUCAACACCGAACACACACACACACACACACACACACACACACAAACACACACGCACACACGCACACACCCUGACACUUGCAUUCACAGAAAAAAGUACUCCAGCACUCGCCUAUGCUUCCACACACGUACGGUACAUUCCACUCUGCAACUUCCCCCACCUUUCCAACUGCCUCUCCGGUUCAUUCAGUGAUGUCCAUGCUGAUGAGUGUAUUACGGUGAAAAUGAGGACAGCUGCUCCCAUAAACCCUGUCAUCAAUUUGUCUCAGUCAUUAAAAUUGUCUGUAAUUGGC